AUCGAACGCUGGCGGCAGGCCUAACACAUGCAAGUCGAGCGGAUGACGGGAGCUUGCUCCUUGAUUCAGCGGCGGACGGGUGAGUAAUGCCUAGGAAUCUGCCUGGUAGUGGGGGACAACGUUUCGAAAGGAACGCUAAUACCGCAUACGUCCUACGGGAGAAAACAGGGGACCUUCGGGCCUUGCGCUAUCAGAUGAGCCUGGUUCGGAUUAGCUAGUUGGUGGGGUAAUGGCUCACCAAGGCGACGAUCCGUAACUGGUCUGAGAGGAUGAGCAGUCAAACUGGAACUGAGACACGGUCCAGACUCCUACGGGAGGCAGCAGUGGGGAAUAUUGGACAAUGGGCGAAAGCCUGAUCCAGCCAUGCCGCGUGUGUGAAGAAGGUCUUCGGAUUGUAAAGCACUUUAAGUUGGGAGGAAGGGCAGUAAGUUAAUACCUUGCUGUUUUGACGUUACCGACAGAAUAAGCACCGGCUAACUCUGUGCCAGCCGCCGCAGAAAGAC
rnacentral:rRNA from 1 species